rnacentral:rRNA from 1 species
UGAGGAAUAUUGGUCAAUGGGCGAGAGCCUGAACCAGCCAAAUCGCGUGAAGGAAGACUGCCUUAUGGGUUGUAAACUUCUUUUAUACAGGAAUAAAAAAGGGGACGUGUCCCUUAUUGCAUGUACUGUAUGAAUAAGCAUCGGCUAACUCCGUGCCAGCAGCCGCGGUAAUACGGAGGAUGCGAGCGUUAUCCGGAUUUAUUGGGUUUAAAGGGUGCGCAGGCGGGCUUUUAAGUCAGCGGUGAAAUCUCGGGGCUUAACUCCGAAACUGCCGUUGAAACUGGGAGUCUUGAGUAUGGAUGAAGUAGGCGGAAUUCGUUGUGUAGCGGUGACAUGCUUAGAUAUAACGAGGAACUCCGAUUGCGUAGGCAGCUUACUAAGCCAUAACUGACGCUCAAGCACGAAAGCGUGGGGAUCAAAUCAGGAUUAGAUACCCUGGUAGUCCACGCCGUAAACGAUGAUUACUAGUUGUAUGCGAUAUACCGUAUGUGACUAAGCGAAAGCGAUAAGUAAUCCACCUGGGGAGUACGCCGGCAACGGUGAAACUCAAA